rnacentral:rRNA from 1 species
AUUGAACGCUGGCGGCAUGCCUUACACAUGCAAGUCGAACGGUAACGCGGGGCAACCUGGCGACGAGUGGCGAACGGGUGAGUAAUGCAUCGGAACGUGCCCAGUAGUGGGGGAUAGCCCGGCGAAAGCCGGAUUAAUACCGCAUACGACCUACGGGUGAAAGCGGGGGACCGUAAGGCCUCGCGCUAUUGGAGCGGCCGAUGUCAGAUUAGGUUGUUGGUGGGGUAAAAGCCUACCAAGCCGACGAUCUGUAGCUGGUCUGAGAGGACGACCAGCCACACUGGGACUGAGACCCGGCCCAGACUCCUACGGAAGGCAGCAGUGGGGGAUUUUGGACAAUGGGGGCAACCCUGAUCCAGCCAUGCCGCGUGCGGGAAGAAGGCCUUCGGGUUGUAAACCGCUUUUGUCAGGGAAGAAACGCUCUGGGCUAAUACCCCGGGGUAAUGACGGUACCUGAAGAAUAAGCACCGGCUAACUACGUGCCAGCCGCCGCGGUAAAAC